GCGUUCCGCUACGUUUACGAGUAGCCACUCCCGACAACCCUAAUAAUUAACAUCGAAUAACAAAAAGUUACCUUACGAUCGAGGUAGGAAAAUGAAAACAGAAUUAGUGCUAGCUAACCAACGACUUAAGAAGGUCAAAUACAGACAAAUAUGUGUUGGAGAAAAAACGGCAGAUGUCAUACAUAAAAGAAUAGGAGAUAUUCAAUAAAUCUAUUUUGGAAUUGCAAUUACAAAGCAAGCUAAAUAUAUCUGUAAAGAUAUAAUAUACCUAAAAUGAACGUCUGCCGUACCUAGAGAAUUAUAAAAUAGAACCAAGCUUUUAACAUCCCACAAAGACAACUUAUAUGGAAAAUGCACUAAGAAUAACAUCCCUAUUAAUUAUCCGGAAAGUAAAUCUUCCCCAAGAUGUGUAUACUCAUAGAGCCGCUUACCGUCUGAUAAACCGGCAAGUCCAUAAGCCAACACUUGGAAUUAGAGCUGAAGGAAGUUCAUCUAGAUUGGAACAAAGAUAAGUGUACUUAAUUAAUGUUCUCAUUUAUAAACCGAAUUGUGUUCCGCAAUAUAUUAUAUAUUUAUUGGACAUUUGUUGUUAAGUACUAGAUUAUUUUUUUAACUUCCCUUAUCAUAUCUUUUACUAUCGGUUGUGUCUACACAACAAAUAAUAUUUUGUCAAUUUUUCAUCUAAAUCUCAAUGCAUGUAAGGGAACAUAAGUACUUAUAGACCUAGAGCAUUGGUCUCUAUAGGGUUCAUUACAUAAUAACUUAGGUAUUGUGGUAGAUAAUAUACAAGUAUAUUAAUACGGUAUUAUGAAGAAUAUCAUCUGGUUCUGUUGACUAGCACUCACUAUUGUUUUUCUGUCUCUUUAUUGUUUGUAUCUGAAAGAAACGUAAACGCAUAGAAAUCAUUUAAUAGUCGGAAACUUUUACGUUAUCUGCUUAUAUCUUGGCAACCAAAA
rnacentral:lncRNA from 1 species